CCGCAGUAUUUUGACUGUGCAAAGGUAGCAUAAUCAUUAGUCUUUUAAUUGAAGGCUGGUAUGAAUGGUUGGAUGAGGUACAAGCUGUGUCAUAAAAAUUAAUAAUUGAAUUUAACUUUUUAGUCAAAAGGCUAAAAUUUAAUUAAAAGACGAGAAGACCCUAUAGAGCUUUAUAUUACAAAUAUUUAAUUUAUUAAGAUUUAUUAAAAUUAAUUAUUUUGUUUUAUUUUGUUGGGGUGACAAUAAAAUUUAUAAAACUUUUAUUAAUAUUUAACAUUUAUUUAUGAUUAUAUGAUCCAGUUUUAUUGAUUAUAAAUUUAAGUUACCUUAGGGAUAACAGCGUAAUUUUUUUUGAGAGUUCAUAUCGACAAAAAAGAUUGCGACCUCGAUGUUGGAUUAAGAGUAAUUUUGGGUGUAGAAGUUCAAAGUUUAAGUCUGUUCGACUUUUAAAUUCUUACAU
rnacentral:rRNA from 1 species